rnacentral:lncRNA from 1 species
CUCCUCUCCUCUCCUCUCCUCUCCUCUCCUCUCCUCUCCUCUCUGCCCUGACAACUCUGUUCAGUCAGACAAAUAUCACAGAAUAAGAACAUGAAAUAUCACGCUGGCAGUUGAUACGUCACACAAUGACAGUGUGUGUGAGUGUGUAUGUUUGUACGUGCAUGUGUGCGUGUUCCUGUCACAUUGUCUUCAAAGGUAUUGUGAACGUUACAGAGUUGUGGUCUUUCUUAACUUCCUCUUGACAGUGGUGACAGCUAACUGACAUAGAAAUAGGUGAAGAGCUCAAGGUGGACUGGGUUUGACACAUAUGUCACCUGUCUGCUCAAGUGUUGCCCCAUCAAAAUCUCACUGUGAUGUUUAUGGACUGACUAACUUCCUGCAGAAAUAUUAUAUUUUGUCUCUUCACCACCCUCUAUAUUUUAGGAGGGGGCAUAAGGUGUUAUGUUUCUGACGUUAGUAAGUCUCUGCUCAGAAUUCAUAGUCUUUUUUUUUAUAAAGAAAACCCACAAAAAGAUUUAACAUCACGAAUAUUAAGUGACAUUUGUAUCAGCUCCCAUCUUCUUACCAAGUGUAUGUGUCAUCAUUGUGCGACAGACAACCAGCAAAACUAAAAAAGUUUUAAAGUAUGUAAAAUGUUGAGAAAUGCGAAAUGUUGAGAAGUUCGAAAUCUAAUGCGCGAUUGCAUUGACUUCAACCAUUCAUAAGAUGAUUAAUCUGUUGUUGUCCUCUUACUGCUAGACAUGACUUCACCACCAAGGUGAUUCAUCUGUUGUUGUCCUCUUACUGAUAGACAUGACUUCACCACCAAGGUGAUUCAUCUGUUGUUGUCCUCUUGCUGCUAGACAUUUGUAUUUGUAUUGAUUAUGGAUCCCCAGUAGCUGCUGCCAAAGCAGAAGCUACUCUUCCUGGGGUCCAGCAAAAUUAAGGAAGGUUAUACAAUUUAAAAAACCUUACAGUUCAUUCACAGAUUUUACAACUCACUGGUGGCCCUCAGGCCCCUACUCUGCCUCUACCACAUAUCUACAGUACUAAAUCCAUGUGUAUGUAUAGAGCAUAUGUUAUCGUGUGUGUGUGUGUGUGUGUGUGUGUGUGUGUGUGUGUGUGUGUGUGUGUGUGUGUGUGUGUGUGUGUGUGUGUGUGUGUGUGUGCCAAUGUUUGUGUUGCUUCACAGUCCCCGCUGUUCCAUAAGGUGUUUUUUUAAUCUGUUUUCUAUUUCUAAUUUACUGCUUAGCGUCACUCACUUUAUAUGGAAUAGAGUUCCAUGUAGUCAUGGCUCUAUGUAGUACUGUGUGCCUCCCAUAGUCUGUUCUGGACUUGGGGACUGUGAAGAGACUUCACCAUGUCCUCUUGCUGCUAGACAUGACUUCAGCACUAAGGUGAUUCAUCUGUUCAUCUGUUGUUGUCCUCUUACUGAUAGACAUGACUUCACCACCAAGGUGAUUCAUCUGUUGUUGUCCUCUUACUGCUAGACAUGACUUCACCACUAAGGUGAUUCAUCUGUUGACUCGAACUCACUCAUGAGACAACGCACAUGGCAAACAAAUCAAGCUUUUGGCAAAGGGUAACACAAAACUCCCCUCUCUAAAAAGGAAAUCAUAAUUAGUAACUGAAAACACCUGAUUGUCAUUAUAGUCUCGAGGGCGAUCUCUGCCACCUUCUGGUGACAGGCGGAACAAUGACAGUACCUAUUCUAGUAUUCUAGGAGCAUCUUCACACGCUGAGCUGGGACAACCGCCACGUAGUUGGUUGAAGUCCCGAACAAGGCCCGGGUCCAGAAUGUCCCAGGCAGGCACCCAUGCCCACUCCUCUGGGCCGUAACACUCCCAGUCCACCAGGUACUGCAGGUUGCCCCGGACCCAACGAACCUUUAGCAGACGCCGGGCGGCUGUCAACCGGUCGAGGGAGCGGAGGGGCCGGUGUAGUAGGGAGAAGGACUGGUCCUUACCAACUUGAGACAGGAUUGCUGAGGCUCAAGCUCUUGAGCACUUUUAAUAAUGUGAAAUGUCAGAAUAAUAGUAGAGAG